rnacentral:rRNA from 1 species
GAUGAACGCUGGCGGCGUGCCUAAUACAUGCAAGUCGAGCGAACGGACGAGAAGCUUGCUUCUCUGCUGUUAGCGGCGGACGGGUGAGUAACACGUGGAUAACCUACCUAUAAGACUGGGAUAACUUCGGGAAACCGGAGCUAAUACCGGCUAAUAUUUUGAACCGCAUGGUUCAAAAGUGAAAGACGGUCUUGCUGUCACUUAUAGAUGGAUCCGCGCUGCAUUAGCUAGUUGGUAAGGUAACGGCUUACCAAGGCAACGAUGCAUAGCCGACCUGAGAGGGUGAUCGGCCACACUGGAACUGAGACACGGUCCAGACUCCUACGGGAGGCAGCGGUAGGGAAUAUUCCGCAAAGGGCGAAAGCCUGACGGAGCAACGCCGCGUGAGUGAUGAAGGUCUUCGGAUCGUAAAACUCUGUUAUUGGGGAAGAACAUAUGUGUAAGUAACUGUGCACAUCUUGACGGUACCUAAUCAGAAAGCCACGGCUAACUACGUG